AUUGAACGCUGGCGGCAUGCUUUACACAUGCAAGUCGAACGGUAACAGGUUAAGCUGACGAGUGGCGAACGGGUGAGUAAUGCAUCGGAACGUGCCCGAUCGUGGGGGAUAACGCAGCGAAAGCUGCGCUAAUACCGCAUACGAUCUGAGGAUGAAAGCGGGGGACCGUAAGGCCUCGCGCGAUCGGAGCGGCCGAUGUCAGAUUAGGUAGUUGGUGGGGUAAAGGCUUACCAAGCCGACGAUCUGUAGCUGGUCUGAGAGGACGACCAGCCACACUGGGACUGAGACACGGCGCAGACUCCUACGGGAGGCAGCAGUGGGGAAUUUUGGACAAUGGGCGCAAGCCUGAUCCAGCAAUGCCGCGUGCAGGAAGAAGGCCUUCGGGUUGUAAACUGCUUUUGUACGGAGCGAAAAGGCUCUGGUUAAUACCUGGGGUCGAUGACGGUACCGGAAGAAUAAGGACCGGCUAACUACGUGCCAGCCGCCGCCGUAA
rnacentral:rRNA from 1 species